CAUAUCAAUAAGCGGAGGAAAAGAAACUAACAAGGAUUCCCCUAGUAACUGCGAGUGAAGCGGGAAAAGCUCAAAUUUAAAAUCUGGCAGUCUUUGGCUGUCCGAGUUGUAAUCUGGAGAAGUGUUUUCCGCGCUGGACCGUGUACAAGUCUCUUGGAACAGAGCGUCAUAGAGGGUGAGAAUCCCGUCUUUGACACGGACUACCAGUGCUUUGUGAUGCGCUUUCAAAGAGUCGAGUUGUUUGGGAAUGCAGCUCAAAAUGGGUGGUAAAUUCCAUCUAAAGCUAAAUAUUGGCGAGAGACCGAUAGCGAACAAGUACCGUGAGGGAAAGAUGAAAAGCACUUUGGAAAGAGAGUUAAACAGUACGUGAAAUUGUUGAAAGGGAAACGCUUGAAGUCAGUCGCGUUGUUCAGAACUCAGCCUGACUUUUGUCUGGUGUAUUUUCUGUGCGACGGGCCAGCAUCAAUUUUGACCAUUGGAAAAGGGCCAGAGGAAUGUGGCACCUUCGGGUGUGUUAUAGCCUUUGGUCGCAUACAAUGGUUGGGAUUGAGGAUCUCAGCAUGCCUUUUGGCCGGGGUUCGCCCACGUUCAUGCUUAGGAUGCUGGCGUAAUGGCUUUAAACGACCCGUCUUGAAACACGGACCAAGGAGUCUAACAUGCCUGCGAGUAUUUGGGUGGAAAACCCGAGUGCGCAAUGAAAGUGAAAGUUGGGAUCUCUGUCAUGGGGAGCACCGACGCCCGGACCAGACCUUUUGUGACGGCUCCGCGGUAGAGCAUGUAUGUUGGGACCCGAAAGAUGGUGAACUAUGCCUGAAUAGGGUGAAGCCAGAGGAAACUCUGGUGGAGGCUCGUAGCGAUUCUGACGUGCAAAUCGAUCGUCAAAUUUGGGUAUAGGGGCGAAAGACUAAUCGAACCAUCUAGUAGCUGGUUCCUGCCGA
rnacentral:rRNA from 1 species